GGGGGUACGUUGAUCGGCAUAUUGGGCGUAAGCGCGCGCAGGCGGUCUCUUAAGUCUGAUGUGAAAGCCCACGGCUCAACCGUGGAGGGUCAUUGGAAACUGGGAGACUUGAGUGCAGAAGAGGAAAGUGGAAUUCCACGUGUAGCGGUGAAAUGCGUAGAGAUGUGGAGGAACACCAGUGGCGAAGGCGGCUUUCUGGUCUGUAACUGACGCUGAGGCGCGAAAGCGUGGGGAGCAAACAGGAUUAGAUACCCUGGUAGUCCACGCCGUAAACGAUGAGUGCUAAGUGUUAGAGGGUUUCCGCCCCUUAGUGCUGCAUCUAACGCUUUAAGCACUCCCCCGGGGGAGUACGGCCGCAGGGCUGAAACUCAAAGGAUUUGACGGGGGCCCGCACAAGCGGUGGAGCGUGUGGUUUAUUUCAAAGCAACGCAAAGAACCUUACCGGGUCUUGACCUCCUGUGACCCUCCGAGAUAUAGGACUUUCCCCUUCGGGAGACAGAGUGACGGGUGGUGCAUGGUUGUCGUCAGCUCGUGUCGUGAGAUGUUGGGUUAACUCCCGCAACGAGCGCACCCCUUGAUCUUAUUUGCCAGCAUUCAUUUGGGCACUCUAGUGUGAGUGCCGGAGACAAACCAGAAGAAUGUGGAUAUGACGUCAAAUCAUCGUGCCCCUUAUGACGUGGGCUACACACGUGCUACAGUGGAUGAUACAAAGGGGUGCAACACCGCGAGGAUGAGCUCUCCCAUAACGCUUUCUCAUCUCAGAUUGUACGCUGACACUCGCCUACGUGAAGCCAGAUUCGCUAGUAUCGCAGAUCACGUGCGCGGGGAGAAAACUUUCCCGGCGUCGUGUACACCCCGCCCGUCACACCACGAGAGUGUGUCACACCAGACGUCGGGGUGGCACUCUUGGGAGCCACCCCCUAUGUGGAAAAUAUUGGGGGAUAAGAAAACCCCCCAAAAAAAAAAAAAAAGACGCGAAAGAAAAC
rnacentral:rRNA from 2 species